rnacentral:rRNA from 1 species
AUUGAACGCUGGCGGCAGGCCUAACACAUGCAAGUCGAACGGAUCGCCGGACGGGUGCGUAAUGCCUAGGAAUCUGCCUGGUAGUGGGGGAUAACGUCCGGAAACGGGCGCUAAUAUCGCAUACUAUCAGAUGAGCCUAGGUCGGAUUAGCUAGUGGGUGGGGUAAAGGCCUCCCAAGGCGACGACCCGUACCUGGUCUGAGAGGAUGACCAGUCACACUGGAACUGAGACACGGUCCAGACUCCUACGGGAGGCAGCAGUGGGGAAUAUUGGACAAUGGGCGAAAGCCUGAUCCAGCCAUGCCGCGUGUGUGAAGAAGGCCUUCGGAUUGUAAAGCACUUUAAGUUGGGAGGCGUUACCAACAGAAUAAGCACCGGCUAACUUCGUGCCAGCCGCCGCGGUAAUUC